rnacentral:tRNA from 1 species
UCUUGACUGGCUCAAUCAGUGGAGCAUGUGACUCUUGAUCUCAGGGUCAUGAGUUCAAGUCCCAUGUUGGGUG